rnacentral:tRNA from 1 species
GCCCCCGUAGCUCAGAGGAUAGAGCGCCGGCCUCCGGAGCCGGGUGCGCAGGUUCGAGUCCUGCCGGGGGCGCCG